rnacentral:lncRNA from 1 species
CGGACACGACUACAAAACUCAAGUCGAAGGACCUCUGUGUUGAUAAUCUUUGAGAUAGGGCUCAGAUAUUCGAAACCAAGAGCCGUAUGAGGUAAGGAGAGGCGAGUAUAGGUGUUUUAAGGGUUGGGAAACCAUAAUCGCCGGUGAAACAGAGCCGGAGAAGGCUAGGGUUCAGAAGGGGGCUAUAGAGCAAUUGAGAGAUGAGGGAGAUACAAG